GAGACUCUGUGCGCGUGCAUAUCAAUAAGCGGAGGAAAAGAAACUAACAAGGAUUCCCUUAGUAACGGCGAGUGAAGCGGGAAGAGCUCAAAUUUGAAAUCUUCAAGGUUCUACCUUGACGAAUUGUAGUUUAUAGAAGUGUUUUCUGUUAGUAGAGUGGCAAAAGUUCUUUGGAAUAGGACAUCAUAGAGGGUGAGAAUCCCGUAUUUGGUCAUUCUUUCUAGCUUUGUGAUACACUUUCAACGAGUCGGAUUGUUUGGGAAUGCAGUCCAAAAUGGGUGGUAAAUUUCAUCUAAAGCUAAAUAUUGGCGAGAGACCGAUAGCGAACAAGUACCGUGAGGGAAAGAUGAAAAGAACUUUGAAAAGAGAGUUAAACAGUACGUGAAAUUGUCAAAAGGGAAGCGUUUGACACCAGUGUUGUUUUUCCGAAAAUCAAUUACGAAUGUUUUGUUUUUGAGGAGUUAUGACUUCAUCGGCUUGCUUCUUUCUUUACGAAACUUUCUUAAUGCACUUUUCGGUUAACAAGUCAACAUCAAUUUCUUUUGUUGUAAAAGGGUACUGAGGAAGGUGGCUUUCUUUUCGGAGAAAGUGUUUAUAGCCUUGUACCUCUGCAAUCGGAGAGAUUGAGGUCUGCAGCGUAGAUCCUUCGGGGUUAGAUACAUUUGUGCUAAGUUAUAGCUUUUCAUAGACAACUUGUUGACUAUGAUUAAGUCAUUGUAGCUUACUCGCUUAUGCUAUUUUACCUACGCUUAGGAUGUUGACGAUCAGCUGAGCGCG
rnacentral:rRNA from 1 species